rnacentral:rRNA from 1 species
UCAAUUAAGCGGAGGAAAAGAAACCAACAGGGAUUACCUCAGUAACGGCGAGUGAAGCGGUAACAGCUCAAAUUUGAAAUCUGGGUCUUUCAGGCUCCGAGUUGUAAUUUGUAGAAGAUGCUUCGGGUGCGGCUCCGGUCUAAGUUCCUUGGAACAGGACGUCAUAGAGGGUGAGAAUCCCGUAUGUGAUCGGUUGCUUGCGCCCAUGUGAAGCUCUUUCGACGAGUCGAGUUGUUUGGGAAUGCAGCUCAAAAUGGGUGGUAAAUUUCAUCUAAAGCUAAAUAUUGGCCAGAGACCGAUAGCGCACAAGUAGAGUGAUCGAAAGAUGAAAAGCACUUUGGAAAGAGAGUUAAACAGUACGUGAAAUUGUUGAAAGGGAAGCGCUUGCAACCAGACUUGCGCGUUGCCGAUCAUCCGGGGUUCUCCCAGGUGCACUCGGCCUCGCUCAGGCCAGCAUCGGUUUUGGUGGUGGGAUAAAGGCCUUGGGAAUGUAGCUCCUUUCGGGGAGUGUUAUAGCCCUCGGUGCAAUGCCGCCUACCGGGACCGAGGACCGCGCUUCGGCUAGGAUGCUGGCGUAAUGGUUGUAAGCGAC